CAAAAUGUAGUUUAGUGUUAAACAUUUCGCUUACACCGAAAAAACGUCUGUUAACCCGGACCAUUUUGA
rnacentral:tRNA from 1 species